UCUCUAGGCUUAAGUACCCUAAAGGAACCUGAUUCUGUCUGAUCUUGGAAGCUAAGCAGCAUCAACCCUGGUUAGUACUGGAAUGAAAGACUGCCAAUGAAUAUCGGGUGCUGUGGGCU
rnacentral:rRNA from 11 species